rnacentral:lncRNA from 1 species
CACUGCAUCACUAAACUAAUAUUUAACGGAUUGGUCCGUAAACAUCAUGGGUCUUUCGGGUUAUUUCUAAUUAUUUGUGAAAACAAAGUUAUUCUUGAGGGCAUUUUUUGUCGUUGAUGUUACAAAUAUUAUCAUAAUCAAUAUGGAAAUUACAUGAACCGGGCACUGGUUUCGCCCCUAAUACAAACAAUAUUACAUGAGCAUCAAGAAGAAAUCAAAAAUGGAAGAACAAAAUAGGAUACAAUGAGAUUAUAACAAAAAUAUAUUGCUAAGGAAGACUCAGAUGCCUCUGUGAUCACUGGUGCCUGAUCUAAACAGCUAUUGGCAUCAUCAAUUAUCGUCCCAAGUGUGGCAUUCUUCACCUCUUCGUGGGUAUACACCUGGACCUGGGAUGCCACGAUGCAAAGAUCACUGCAAAUCAAAGGAAACAUAUAUUUGCUUUUAGUGUCACCCAGAAAGCUAAAACAAUCAAAACAUGAUUAAACCAAAUAAUUCAAUCAUCCUUAACUGGGUUAAAGCAAAAUGGUGUGCAACAACCAUUGUUAAUAGCAUUGGCCAUUCAAAACCUCAAACAUCGUAUCACUCAAAAUCACCCAAAAAAAUCUCAACAAUCCAUAAGUCAUCUACCACUACCCCACCAUAUCUUAACAGACCAAACAAAUCUAGAAAUAUGAAACAAAAAGAUCCAAAAUUGGAGAAUGGGUUAGAAUUGCCAAGAAAAUGCAGCAUCUAAAUCUAAUUUCCUUGCUGUGAUGGAGUAGGUUGAUUUGAUAUUGAUGAUAAAGGCCAGUUACCAUCCUACUCCAAUUAUGGUCAUCAUUGGCAAAUAAAAAUCUUCUCCAACAGUUACGUAUGCAUAAAUCAGCAAUAACUGGGACAACAUAAGAAUUUCAAAAAUGCAAACCAGAAGUCAUCACCAAUUGGCAUAUUCCUUUUUCAGUUAUGUAUUCAAGUAGGCAUAAAAGGCAAAUAUUCAGAAAAGGAUUCCAAAACAGCAGGAUUAGGCAGCAAUCAAUUUAAAUGGAGUAAUUAGAGGUAAAAUGAUUAUUAGUAAUCAUUGAGCAUUAUUCAAAACUGAAAGGAAUAAUCAGAAAAGAGCAAGAGUCAGGGUAUAUGUUCCUAUAUCUUAGGUGAGAAUUCAGAAAUAUCUCAGCAGUUACAUAUAAUCAUAAUCAGCAUGAAUGGAAAUAAUUAUUGAGCAGUUUCAGAAUGGAUAACCAGAAAGCAAAAGGGCAGUACAACAUAAACACACAGCUAUAAAGGGCGUACAGCUAUCAAUAGAAAAACAUGAGAGAGGAUUCCAGAGAUAAAAAAAAAGACACAUACGUUCAGAGAAUAGAGAGAAAAGUCAUACAUUAUACACAACUAUAACCAGAGCACUACUUCCAUACAUCCAACAAAAAUCAACCUAAAAUAGGCUCACAUUUCACGAGCAGCGUAAAGCGACACACAUAUACUCAGUAAACGCAGAGAGCAUUUCAACCGUAAAAAACAGAGGACAUUACAACAGUGCUAAACAAGGGCAGCAAGUACAACACCGAAGCAGAACAUCGGUAGAUAAAGAAUCAACACUCGGAAGGACA